AUUGAACGCUGGCGGCAUGCCUUACACAUGCAAGUCUAACGGUAGAGGGGGCAACCCCUCGAGAGUGGCGAACGGGUGAGUAAAGCAUCGGAACGUGCCCAGUAGUGGGGGAUAGCCCGGCGAAAGCCGGAUUAAUACAGCAUACGACCUACGGGUGAAAGGGGGGGAUCGCAAGACCUCCCGCUAUUGUAGCGGCCGAUGUCAGAUUAGGUAUUUGGUGGGGUAAAGGCCUACCAAGCCGACGAUCUGUAGCUGGUCUGAGAGGACGACCAGCGACACUGGGACGGAGAGACGGCCCAGACUCCUACGGGAGGCAGCAGUGGGGAAUUUUGGACAAUGGGCGCAAGCCUGAUCCAGCCAUGCCGCGGGCGGGAAGAAGGCCUUCGGGUUGUAAACCGCUUUUGUCAGGGAAGAAAUCCUCUGGGCUAAUACCUCGGGGGGAUGACGGUACCUGAAGAAUAAGCACCGGCUAACUACGUGCCAGCAGCCGCCGUAACAC
rnacentral:rRNA from 1 species